AGAGUUUGAUCCUGGCUCAGAGCGAACGCUGGCGGCAGGCCUAAAACAUGCAAGUCGAACGCCGUAGCAAUACGGAGUGGCAGACGGGUGAGUAACACGUGGGAACGUGCCUUUUGGUUCGGAACAACCCAGGGAAACUUGGGCUAAUACCGGAUAAGCCCUUCGGGGGAAAGAUUUAUCGCCAGAAGAUCGGCCCGCGUCUGAUUAGCUAGUUGGUGGGGUAACGGCCCACCAAGGCUACGAUCAGUAGCUGGUCUGAGAGGAUGAUCAGCCACACUGGGACUGAGACACGGCCCAGACUCCUACGGGAGGCAGCAGUUAGGAAUCUUGGACAAUGGGCGCAAGCCUGAUCCAGCCAUGCCGCGUGAGUGAUGAAGGCCUUAGGGUUGUAAAGCUCUUUCAGCGGGGAAGAUAAUGACGGUACCCGCAGAAGAAGCCCCGGCUAACUUCGUGCCAGCAGCCGCGGUAAUACGAAGGGGGCUAGCGUUGCUCGGAAUCACUGGGCGUAAAGCGCACGUAGGCGGCUUUCUAAGUCAGGGGUGAAAUCCUGGAGCUCAACUCCAGAACUGCCUUUGAUACUGGAGAGCUUGAGUCCGGGAGAGGUGAGUGGAACUCCGAGUGUAGAGGUGAAAUUCGUAGAUAUUCGGAAGAACACCAGUGGCGAAGGCGGCUCACUGGCCCGGUACUGACGCUGAGGUGCGAAAGCGUGGGGAGCAAACAGGAUUAGAUACCCUAGUAGUCC
rnacentral:rRNA from 1 species